rnacentral:lncRNA from 1 species
CGAACAUCUACCACGAGCGGUCUACUCCGAUCUUCUACUACGAGCGGUCUACUCUGAACUUUUACUAUGAGCGGUCUACUCCGAACUCCUACAGCGGGCGGUCUACCCCAGAUAUUUACUAUAAGCAAAUUUCAUUCGAGCCUCUACUGUAAAUAAAUUUCUUCCAAACUUCGAUUACAGGUAGACUUCGAUCGAGCUUCUUCAU